UACGUAGGGUGCAAGCGUUAAUCGGAAUUACUGGGCGUAAAGUGUGCGCAGGUGGCUGAGCAAGUCGAGUGUGAAAUCCCCGGGCUUAACUUGGGAAUUGCGCUCGAAACUACUUGGCUCGAGUGUGGCAGAGGAAGGUGGAAUUCCAGGUGUAGCGGUGAAAUGCGUAGAGAUCUGGAGGAACACCGAUGGCGAAGGCAGCCUUCUGGGCCAACACUGACGCUCAUGCACGAAAGCGUGGGGAGCAAACAGG
rnacentral:rRNA from 1 species